UACGUAGGGUGCAAGCGUUGUCCGGAAUUAUUGGGCGUAAAGAGCUCGUAGGCGGUUUGUCGCGUCUGCUGUGAAAAUCCAGGGCUUAACCCUGGACCUGCAGUGGGUACGGGCAGACUAGAGUGCGGUAGGGGAGAUCGGAAUUCCUGGUGUAGCGGUGAAAUGCGCAGAUAUCAGGAAGAACACCCGUGGCGAAGGCAGGUCUCUGGGCCAGCUACUGACGCUGGAGAAGCGAAAGCAUGGGGAGCGAACAGG
rnacentral:rRNA from 1 species